AGAUUGAACGCUGGCGGCGUGCCUAACACAUGCAAGUCGAGCGGUAACAGGUGUAGCAAUACAUGCUGACGAGCGGCGAACGGGUGAGUAAUGCUUUGGAAUCUUCCCAGUAGUGGGGAAUAACCAGUCGAAAGAUUGGCUAAUACCGCAUACGUCUGUAAAGGGAAAGCGGGGGCUCGUAAGACCUCGCGCUAUUGGAUGAGCCAAAGUCGGAUUAGCUAGUUGGUGGGGUAAUGGCCUACCAAGGCGACAAUCCGUAGCUGGUCUGAGAGGACGACCAGCCACACCGGGAACUGAGACACGGUCCGGACUCCUACGGGAGGCAGCAGUGGGGAAUAUUGGACAAUGGGGGAAACCCUGAUCCAGCGACGCCGCGUGUGUGAAGAAGGCCUGCGGGUUGUAAAGCCCUUUCGGCGGGGAAGAUAAUGACGGUACCCGCAGAAGAGCCCCGGCUAACUUCGUGCCAGCAGCCGC
rnacentral:rRNA from 1 species